rnacentral:tRNA from 1 species
UAAGGUUUUAAGUUAAAAAAACUAUUAAUCUUCAAAAUUAAAAAUAAUAUUAAAAUUUUAAACCUUAA